AGAAGAAGACUAGGUCUGUCAAGGCUAUACAGAAACUGUCCAACACUUGGACUUUGCACUGUUGCUGAAUGUGGUUAUUAGCUCCGAGAGUUUUUUUUUUAAUAUUUUGGGGUUUUCUUUAUAAAGGAUAGAUCAUCUACAAAUACUUCUUGCUUUUCAAUUUAGAUGAUGUUUCCUUUCCUGCCCAAUUUAUCUGGUUAAAACGUCUGAUACACUGUUGAAUAGAAGAGGCAAGGGCACAUGUUCAUGUCUUGUUCCUGAUAUUGGGAGAAAGCAUCCCGUUUUUCACCAGAAAGGAAUACAUAAGAGAGAAGUGCCCACCAGUCUCUGGCCAGGACAGCCUAUCUGUGCAGGAGGCAUUGCUGGCACCCCGUGGGGACUGAGGACCAAGGAGGAGCUGCUCCCCCACACACGGUUCGUACUUCUGCUCUGUGAAGAGAGACAACUGUGCCCUGUCACCUUCACUGAACUAUGAGGUGUG
rnacentral:lncRNA from 10 species